ensembl:snoRNA SNORD58 Small nucleolar RNA SNORD58
CUGCGGUGAUGACUUCCUUAGGACACCUUCGGAUUUAACUGUGAAAGAUUAAGCGUAAUUUCUGAGCAGC